rnacentral:rRNA from 1 species
UACAGAGGGUGCAAGCGUUGUUCGGAAUUAUUGGGCGUAAAGAGCUCGUAGGCGGUCUGUCGCGUCGGCUGUGAAAACCCGGGGCUCAACCCCGGGCCUGCAGUCGAUACGGGCAGACUAGAGUGCGGUAGGGGAGACUGGAAUUCCCGGUGUAGCGGUGAAAUGCGCAGAUAUCGGGAGGAACACCGGUGGCGAAGGCGGUUCUCUGGGCCUUACCUGACGCUGAGGAGCGAAAGCGUGGGGAGCGAACAGG